AGUUUACAGUCAAUCUGGUAACACUGAUUGUGUUGGGAAUUUAUAUGAUCCAAACACCUGCACUAUCUCAUAACUGUUGAAGUUAAAGCCAUGUCAUUUAUCCUGUUUUCCAGUUCUCCUGGUUGUGCUGCAGGUCAAGUUGCUGCCUGAUGACUCCUACGGCCACUGCCCACACCUCACCCGAUUGUCCAUGUCCUUGUCUAUCUGGGCUCCUGGGAAAGGCUUAUCUUCCAAUCUUCUCCUUUUCCUCCAUGCUGGUUCCUGGAUGGUGCCCUUGCUUGAUAGGAAUCUCUCCAUGAUGUUGCCUGUUCGUGGCUGAAUGGCCAGUGCUUGGCAGGGCACCUUCCCAGUCAUAAGUCUCCCAUGGAGAAGAGAUGUGAGACUCUCAUGACAAAGCUAUUGCACACUCCUCUUCCAGACCUUGCAAACCAGUCCUGGAGACAUGUUGUUACUCAGCGUGGAAGCAGAAGAAGGCGGCCGUGUGCAGCUGAGACCAUGAUCCUGUUUUAUGAACUGUUUUAUGCACACUGGUAAAGUGCCCUAUUACCUAUCACACACCUGUUCCCGCUUGGCUCAUCACCGGCUGUAUGUCUGAGGAGCCCUGACGACCCGUCCCUGCCGGAUCGUUGAUCCACAUUCGAAUCUUCCUGACGACCAUCAACAGCUCGUGGACCGACCUCCUGCACGCCCACUACUACUCUGCCUACUCCCUGCCUGUACCUCUGCCGCCAGCCCGUGUACCAACCUCCUGCCCGCCCACUACUACU